rnacentral:tRNA from 1 species
GGGUCGGUACUCAAGCGGUCAACGAGGAUGGACUGUAAAUCCAUUGGCUUACGCCUACGAAGGUUCGAAUCCUUCCCGGCCCACCA